GCAGUCCAGGUGGAUAACUGCUGGGGGAUCAGAAGCUUGAUGUUUACACUAAACUAGUUCAAAGCGGAAGGGAAAAUGGCCUACAAUUUUCACUAAUCGCUUUGGGUCAGAAACAACUUGUAGAUGGAUAUGAGCAGUAAAGAAAUUUGGCCCUUGGCAUUACAUGGUGGGGUGGCAGUGGAAACAACUGAAGCUGGGGUUGUUUAUAAUUUAGUUACAAAAAAAGGUUUGUUUCUUCCUGAGAACUCCUCAGAUAUAGGUCAGUUGAGAUCAGCUUCAGCACAGUCUGAUCUCUGCUUUAGAACAGAGGUUUGUGAUUUUUUAAAAAAAAAAUCCUUGUAGGAAAGAUCACAACAGGCCUGACACAAUUCAACACUGUUGACUUUUUCAAAUUCGCUCUUGCACAACUCCUGCUAUUAGCGCAAACUGAAAGCAGCAGCUAAGCAGCUCCUACUCUUCUCAAUGUACAUGUGUUAGAAUACAGCUCAUAGUGUCAUAAUUUACCUUUACAAGAUUUAAUUCCCGGCAUUCCCCUCAAAAGAGGAUGGUGUCUUUUACUAGUAUUGACAUACCGUGCAACUGCCAGCUAAUAAAACCUAUUACUAAGUAGUCAGUGUGGCCAUGUCUAGGGUAGGAAAAUAGGUUCUAUUUUUAAAAUGUGUUUGCUAGCUAACACAUUUGAAGUAACAGGACUUCACAGAGGACUUUGCACCUAGUGUACUUAGGGCUAAUCAAAGCACUGGUUCGGCUAGUUAUGGUUAAUCCUCGGGGUAGCCAUAUAGGUAGAGAAGAGCUUUCAAACUGAUUCCUUCCCCGUGAGGAAUGGCUAUCACUUACAGAUGAUGUAUGAGAUGAUAAACAUAUACUAUAAACAACCUUGGCAAAAAGCAGAAGCUAAAUUUAAGAACAAACCACAGUGACAUUUGAGUAACAAAAUUAUAUAACUUGUACUAGGUUGUUUUAAUUGCAAACCAAGCAGUAGCAUCUCAGGCAGGAAACACUGAAGUGAACUCAAACUAUUUUACUUUUACAGAAGGAAAUACCAUUCAUGCUGUUCACUCAAACCAAAUAUAGUUUUACUUCAACACUCUCACUUUAUUUAAGUAAUAGUUUUAAACAAAAGUUGUCAGUCAAAAACAAGGGAAAAAUUCAAACAAGGUUGUUUGAACUGCACCCACCUUUUUCAUUCCUACACAAGCCCUAACACUGUCUACGUACACUAAAUAGCUGGAGGCAUUCAGGAUUAGUAUACAUUUUUGCAGGUUUAUUAAAGUUAACUGUUCUCAUUACCAUCUUUUUUAAUUCCCUUCUCAAUUCGGACCCGAUGUCUCCUGAUCAGCUAGCGUUUCAGCCACUUGCAAGGUGGAUUGUGACUUUUUUCAGAUGGCACUAAGCACUGAAUGCUGUCUCUAGCCGUUUGUCAUAUAUUCACCACCACAUUAAUGUUUCAAA